UGUAAUUGAUUUGUAUGAAGAGAGCGCUGCUUCCUAGGAGUGGUUUGAAGAAUGUACUCCCACCACUCCCUGUAAACCAAAACUAUUUGGCAUGGAGCCUCGCCAGUCCACCUGUACGAGGAAGCUGGGCUGUGCGGCUGGCACCCUCUACCACCUUUUUCAGCGCGCCUUCCCUGCGCCUCGCUCAACUGGUUCUUCCUUUUUUUUUUUUGUUCUUUUUAGUUUCUUUUUAACCCCUUUUUGGUUCAUCGACGCCUAGACGUCCAGACCAAAUGUCAGAUACAUCGACGAUAACUCAUUUGCCUAUCUAAAAAUAACCCGGUCCUACGAAACACGUAAAGAUGCAGAGAAUUUAUUGGGAUGAAUAAAUCACAGACGAGAGCCGCCACGCUCCCAGCAUUAAAUGAGAUACCGGCAAAUCUGAAAUAUGACACACCAUAUACCAGGGCGGUGUUUAUGUACUCCAUAAAAGACGAUUGUUUUAUCACAUGUUAAAGGAUAUUAAAUGAUAAAAUGUGAUGAAAUAUUA